AUGCUUCUUCCGCGACCCCGUACCAUAAUUCAGUCAAACCGCCCACGACAUCCACCCCAUCACAGUCCGAAACAACUGACGCGAAGCACCAUAUGUUCCAUCGCCCAACACCGCGCCUCAAUCUCAACCACAAAGAUCAACCGUCAUCGUACCUCCGCCGCUCCUACCGCACACUUACCUUGGUGUGUUGUUAUAUUGUUUUUUGUUUUGUUUUUUUAG